UCCUAAUAUGAUCCUAAUAAUAUUUGGCUAAAUUAAUACUCCAAGACACCGACCUGAAGCCACCGCCUUUGAAAUGUUCUUGGUCCAAAUACGUCCGCGUAAUUUCUUAUCCUCAUCGCUUAAUCAUAGCCGUGUGUCAUAUCCCCUCAACCCUAUAAAUAGACUUGAUAGGGAGGCAUCUUUUUGUAUGCCUGUUUGUAUUGGUUCUAUGAUCUAUGAUUUGGUGUUCUUAUUGAUUUGAUACCGCAGGGUUUGAUCAAGAUAUGUGUAAUUAACUACUGUUGAUGAAGAUAUGUUUGACUUGCAUGAUUCGAUGAGCUGAUGCCUUUUCUUUGGUUCUGAUUUCAUGGCCUAUCUUCUUUAUAUAAACCUCACCUUAUCUACUUUCGAAUCUUGCUUUCAGAAUCUUUUAAUAUGGGGUAUAAGUUUCUGAUUUGCAACUCUUUGAUCAUCUGUGUAGAGAAGUUAAGGUCGGGACGAGUCAUUCAAGCGGAGGAGGAACGUUAGGGGUUUUGGGAGUUCUUGACUUUUUUUUUGGAGUCAAUUUAUUGAUUCGUUAUUGUUUGUUUUGAUCAGGUCUGGGUAAUAAUGAUAGGAGAACAAUUACGGGCGCUUUCCAGCGUAUUUAUUUAUUUUGUUCCCAUUUUCUUGUGUAUUACAGUGGAUGUUUAAAAUUGCAAUCCUUUGAUUGAUUUCCAAUGUUUUUAGAAAUUGGAAACUAGUAAGGUCCAAUAUAGCAGUUUUGGGGGAAUCAAGUUUGUGCUUCCAGGUUUUGGGAAAUUCUGAGGUUUCUGUUGUGAGAAAUCGUGUGUUGUGUUAUGUGUUGUGUUACAUUGUUUUGUCACCCUAUUUACUACUAUGAAAUCUAGCAAUUUCCUUUUGUUGAAUCAGAAUACGAGUAGAACUGGACCUAUGUGUCACAACCAUAGAGUGGAGAUAUCAGUUUGGAUUUGAUAUCUUGACUUCCAUCUUUACUGCUAAUUUUGAUGCUAAUCAUGUUUCUCCUCGCUCAACUUCUUUCACCUCCUUAUUUGGUUUGAUCAUCAGUGCAUGUCAUUCUUAGCUGUCAAGAAUACAUGGAUGGGCAUCUAGGUGCAAGUGGUUCUACAGGAAUAAGUGUCUUGCUUUGGUGUUUGCAUCGGGAAAGAUGCAGCAGUUCCCAGGUCUUUGACUAAUAGGUACUGGAUUUUUCAGUCUCUAGAAGUUUUGUCAAAACUGCUUAUGGAAGUUCUCAACUAUGACAAUUCUUUUCACCAGUGUGUAUAGUGCGUUCUGCUGUCAGUUUUAAUUGUUAGUUCAGAUGCUCAUGCUCUUUGACGAUCCUGAUGUCUUUAAUGGUGUUAUGGGCACCGGAUAUGUAGUCAAGUCAAAAGCCAAUUCUGGAUCUUUGGAAGUGCUGUAAAGUGCUCUUCUGCUUUCUGUGUAUACACGCCAGCUUGAUUUUGUUUGUUGGUGAAUGGAUGUGUAGACCACAUGGUGACACUAAUAGAGGAUUAGUGACAUUAAUAGAAGAUUACUUUUGGAAACGUCAAAGGCUUGUGACCAGUAUGCAUCCCUGUGCUUCUGUUUCUUGGUUCUUUUGGUGCUUGCACUCCAAGAUGGAUAUUGGCAGGCUUUGACUAAAAUGAUGUUUUUUCAAUCGUCUCUUGCAUCUCUAGUGAUUUCUCAGAGGAUAUGGGUUUUGUCAGCUUUGCACUUAACCUGUUCACUUCUUUCAGUGCUUGCAGUUGGGUCUAACCGAGAAGUGAAUUAUUCUUUUCAUGGAGGGGCUUUGUUUGGACCUUUGUGUUCAAGGUUUUGUUAGUACAGGUUUUAUGAGUGAUGGGAUUCUCAUUUUAAUUUUCUUGCCCAAUCAGAGUGUGGUCCCUCCUCUCUUUGUCAAAAAUUGCUGAUGUAUGGAAGUUCUUAGCUAAAAUAGUUUUUCUUGCACUAGCGUGUGUUGUAUCUGCUGCCGUUUUUAGGUUUUAGUUCAGAUGCUUGUGUUCUUCGAUGAUCCAGUUGAUGAGAUUCCUGGUGAUUGACGGGUAUAUGGUCUGGUUGAUGGGUAUAUGGUCUUGUUGACACCUGAUAAGUAAUCAAGACUAAAUCCUGGAUCUCUUGACAGCCCCAUCAAGUGGGUGCAUCUCUUUUGGUAUUCUCACUGCUUAUCUUCUCUGCUUCUUGGUUGUUGUAUCAUUCCAGCUUGAUUUUGUUUGUUGGAUGGAUAACAGUCGAGCAUUAGAUUGGGAAAUUUCGACGCAGAUGCCCAGUGUCCAUUCCUGUGCAACCUGUUCCUUUGCCAUUUCUGUGCUUGCACUGCAAUCUGAAUAUUAUCAGGCUUGGAUAGAGAGGUUUCUCGAUCCUGUUUCUUUGCCAUUUUUGUGCUUGCACUGCAAUCUGAAUAUUAUCAGGCUUCGAGAGAAGGGUUUUUCAAUCUUGUCUGGCAUUUUCUAGCGGGUUUCGUCAGCCUUUGCAUGUAACUCUUUCCUUCAUUCCUUUGCUUGCAGCCAUUGGGUCUUACAAAGCAGUGGAUUCUUUUUUCAUGGAGUGACCUUAUUUGUCCAUAUGUGUUGAGGUUUUUUUGUUCAAUAUUUUAUGAGUAUGGAUAAUUUUCAAUUAAGUUUUCUUCCCUAGUGACUUCUCUGUCUUUGUCAAAACUACUGUUGGAUGGAAGUUUCUCAAUUAGGACAUCAUAUUUUAUCAGUGUGUUGUGUUCUGCUGCCAUGAAGUUCUUAGUCCAAACACAUAUGUUCUUCGAUGAUCCAAUUGAUGAGGUGUUCUAUGGCGAUGAGGUCUCUUAUGGCUAUUGGCACCUGAUACGUACUGUCCAAUUCUAGAUCUUUUAAUAGUGGCAUAAAGUACUUAUUUACUUUUGUUCUUCUGGCUACUUACUUAUCCUUUGCUUUCAUUUUUUUCCCGUUAUCGUGCUAGUUCGUUUUGGUUGGAUGGAUGUGUAUAUGUGGUGAUACUGUUAUGGACAUUCAGAUUUGGAAAUUUCAAAGCUUGAUUAAUCAACACGUGAUCCUCUGCCACCUUUUGGUCUUUUUGGUGCUUGCACUGCUGACUGGAUAUUGUCCGGGCUUUGACAAAAGGGGUUUUUCUGUCUCGUCUAUGGCAUAUCUAGUAAUUACUUAGGUAGGGUUGGGGUUUGUCAGAUUUGCACUUAACUGUCCUUUCUUUCUUUUCUUGCAGCCUUGGUUACAGGGCAGUCUUUCUGUUCUUUCAGCCAUUGGUUACAGGGCAGUGAAUUAUACCGAAAAGCGGCCAUGUUUAUCCGUUUGUCUUGAGGUUUCUUUAGUCAAGUCUUUCAUGAGUAUUGAGAUUUUUCAGUUUUCUUUUCUUAUGGCUCCCUUUCUCUGUCAAAACUAUUGUUGUAUGGAAGUUUCUCGACUAAGAUAAUAUUUUUCACCAGUGAGUGUUGUGUUCUGCUGCCAUGAAGUUUUUAAUCCAGAUACUUUGUUCUUCAACGCACCAACUGAUGAGGCCUCUUAUGGUUAUAGACACCUGAUAAGUACUCGGUUAGUGGAUCUUAUCUUUUGAUAGAGCCAUUAGGUGCUCCUCUACUUCUGGUCUUCUAUUUACAUAUAUUCUUUGCUGCCAUUUACUUUUGGUUAUCACAACUUAAUUUUUUUGUUGGAUGGAUGUGUAGACUAUAUGGGGACAAUAUUAGGAGGUUAAGAUUUCAAAGGUUGAUAUCCAGUAUGGUAUCUUUGUACACUCUUGGUCUUUUUGGUUCUUGCACUGCAAUCUGGAUAUAUUGGUCAGGGCUUCAACAAAGAAGGGUUUUUUUAAAUCUUGUCUAUAUGGCAUCUCUAGUGAUUUCUUAGGUGGUGUGGGUUUCGUCGACUUUGGACUUAAUUGUACUCAUCUUUUUGUGCUUGCAGCCAUUGGGUCUUACGGAGCAGUGAAUUAUACUUUUCAUGGAGCGACUUAGUCCAUUUAUGUCGAGGUUGCCUUAGUUCAGGCUUUUAUGAGUACUGGGAUUUUCAGCUAAAACAGUUUUUGUUUUCACCAGUGUGUCAUAUUCUAGUGUCAUUUUUGAUUUUUAGUCCAGAUGCUCAUUUUCUUCAAUUAUCCAACUGAUGAGAUUCCUGAUGGUUGAUGGUUAUGGUCUUAUGGACACUUGACAAGUACUAAAUUUUGGAUCUUUUGAUUGCCUCGUAAAGUGGUCCUCUUUUUUGGGGUUCUCGCUGCUCAUUUUCUCUGUGUCCUUUUUCUUGUAUUAUGCCAGCUUGAUUUUGUUUGUUGGAUGUAUGUAUGGUGAAAGUUGUAGGGAUUAGACUUGGAGUAUUUUGAAGGUUGGUGUACACUGUGCACUCCUGUGCACCCUGUUUCUUGGUCAUGUUUGUGCUUGUGCUACAAUCUGGAUAUUAUUAGACGCUUCGAAAGAAGGUGGCUCUCAAUCUUGUCCGACAUUUCUAGUGAAUUCUAGGUGGUACGGACUUCAUCAGCUUUGCACUUACUGUUCCAUUCUUUCUGUGCUUGCAGCCGCUGGGUCUUACAGAGCUGUAGAUUCUUCUUUUGAUGGAGCUGCCGGUUUGUAUUGGUUUAGUUUUCCUUUAUUCUAUGAUCUAUGAUUUGGUGUUCUUAUUGAUUGAUACCGCAGGGUUUGAUCAAGAUAUCUGUAAUUAAUUAUUGUUGAUCAAGAUAUGUUUUAGACUUACAUGAUUCGAUGAGCUGAUGCCUUUCCUUUGGUUCAUGGCCAUCUUCUUUAUAUAAAUCUCACCUUAUCUACUUUUGAAUCUUGCUUUCAGAAUAUUUUAAUAUGGGUUGUAGAAUUCUGAUUUGCAACUCUUUGAUCAUCUGUGUAGAUAAGUUAAGGUCGGGACGAGCCAUUCAAGCGGAGAAGGAACGUUAGGGCUUUUGGGAGUUGUUGACUUUUUUUUGUGAUUCAGUUCACAAUUAGUACUUUUUUUUGGGUCAAUUUAUUGAUUCCUUAUUAUUGUUUGUUUUGGUCAGGUCUGGGUAAUAAUGAUAGGAGAACAAUUACGGGUACUUUCCAGUGUAUUUAUUUAUUUUGUUCCCAUUUUCUUGUGUAUUAUAGUGGAUGUUUAAAAUUGCAAUCCUUUGAUUGAUUUCCAAUUUUUUUAGAAAUUGGAAACUAGUAAGGUCCAAUAUAGCAGUUUUGGGGGAAUCAAGUUUGUGCUUCCAGGUUUUGGGAAAUUCUGAGGUUUCUGUUGUGAGAAAUCGUGUGUUGUGUUAUGUGUUGUGUUACAUUGUUUUGUCACCCUAUUUACUACUAUGAAAUCUAGCAAUUUCCUUUUGUUGAAUCAGAAUACGAGUAGAACUGGACCUAUGUCACAACCAUAGAGUGGAGCUAUCAGUUUGGAUUUGAUAUCUUGACUUCCAUCUUUACUGCUAAUUUUGAUGCUAAUCAUGUUUCUCCUCGCUCAACUUCUUUCACCUCCUUAUUUGGUUUGAUCAUCAGUGCAUGUCAUUCUUAGCUGUCAAGAAUACAUGGAUGGGCAUCUAGGUGCAAGUGGUUCUACAGGAAUAAGUGUCUUGCUUUGGUGUUUGCAUCGGGAAAGAUGCAGCAGUUCCCAGGUCUUUGACUAAAUAGGUAUUGGAUUUUUAAGUAACGAGAAGUUUUGUCAAAACUGCUUAUGGAAGUUCUCAACUAUGACAAUUCUUUUCACCAGUGUGUAUAGUGCGUUCUGCUGCCAGUUUUAGUUGUUAGUUCAGAUGCUCAUGUUCUUUGAUGAUCCUGAUGUCUUUAAUGGUGUUAUGGGCACUGGAUAUGUAGUCAAAAGCCGAUUCUGGAUCUUUGGAAGUGCCGUAAAGUGCUCCACUGCUUUUUGUGUAUAUACACACCAGCUUGAUUUUGUUUGUUGGUGAAUGGAUGUGUAGACCACAUGGUGCCAUUAAUCGAGGAUCAGUUUUGGAAACUUCAAAGGCUUGUAACCAGUAUGCAUCCCUGUGCAUACCAAGAUGGAUAUUGUUAGGCUUCGACUAAAAUGGGGUUUUUCCAAUGCCUCUUGCAGCUCUAGUUAUUUCUUCGGUGAUAUGGUUUUUUUCAGCUUUUCACUUAACCUGUUCCCUUCUUUCUGUGCUUGCAGUUGGGUCUAACCGAGCAGUGAAUUAUUCUUUUCAUGGAGGGGCUUUUUUUGGACAUUUGUGUUGAUUACUUAGGUGAUAUGGGUUUUGUCAGCUUUGCACUUAACCUGUUCCCUUCUUUCUGUGCUUGCAGUUGGGUCUAACUGAGCAGUGACAUUCUUUUUAUGGAAGGGCAUUGUUUGGACGUUUGUGUUGAGGUUUCUUUAGUUCAGGUUAUAUGAGUACUGAGAUUUUCAUUUCAGUUUUCUUCCCCAAUCAGAGUGUGGUCCCUCCCCUCUGUCAAAAAUUGUUGAUGUAUGGUAGUUUUUAGCUAAAAUAGUUUCUCUUGCACUACUAUGGAGAUGUAUGGAGGCUAAAGGUGUACCUGUGGCGUACAUUAGGGUGAUCAAGGACAUGUACGAGUGUGCCAAAACCAGGGUAAGGGCAGUAGGAGGGGACUCAGAGCACUUUCCAGCUGUGAUGGGGUUGCAUCAAGGAUCAACUCUCAGUCCGUUUUUAUUUGCCUUGGUGAUGGAUGGAUUGACGCGACAAAUUCAAGGUGAGGUGCCAUGGUGUAUGCUUUUCGCGGACGACAUAGUCCUGAUCGAUGAGACUCGUAGUGGAGUUAACGCUAAGCAGGUUUGGAGACAUACCUUGGAGUCUACAGGGUUUAAGUUGAGUAGGUCCAAGACAGAGUACUUAGAGUGCAAGUUCAGUGAGACACCUCAGGAGGUUAGCGAGAAAGUUAGGCUGGGUGACUAGGCCAUCCAAAAGAAAAGUAGUUUUCAAGUACCUUGGGUCUAUUAUGCAAGGCAGCGGAGAGAUUGAUGAUGAUUUCACACCGUAUUGGGGCAGGGUGGAUGAAAUGGAGGCUCGUUUCCGGUGUGCUAUGUGACAAGAAGGUGUCACCACAACUUAAGGGCAAGUUCUACAAAGUGGUGGUUAGACCAGCUAUGUUAUAUGGGGCGGAGUGUUGGCCAGUUAAGGUCUCUCACGUUCAAAAAAUGAAAGUUGCCGAGAUGAGAAGUUGAGAUGGAUGUGUGGGCAUACCAGGAGCGACAAGAUUAGAGACGAGGCUAUUCGGGACAAGGUAGGAGUGGCCUCUGUGGAAGACAAGAUGCGGAAAAUGCGGCUGAGAUGAUUUGGGCAUGUGAAGAGGAGAGACACAUAUGCGCCAGUGUGGAGGUGUGAGAGGUUGGCCAUGGAUGGUUUCAGAAGAGGUAGGGGUAGGCCGAAAAAAUAUUGGGGGGAGGUGAUUAGACAGGACAUGACACGACACGACACAGUUACAACUUACCGAGGACAUGACCUUAGAUAGGAGGGUGUGGAGGACCCACAUUAGGGUAGAAGGCUAGUACAUAGUACCCACAUUAGGGUAGAAGGCUAGUACAUAGUCUCGUUAUUCUUCCUUAUUAGUAGGCGCAUUAGCGCACUAUAAUUUCUUGUGCUCUGAUUUUUCUUGUUAUCUAUUACUUUCUGUACUUUGAUUACUCUAUUUUAUCUGUGUCGCUCUUGUUACUUGCUUUCCCAUAUCGUUUUGAACUUCUUAGCCUUAUCUAACCUCUGUUUAUGCUUUUAUUGAGCCGAGGGUCUUCCGAAAACAGCCGUCCUAUCUUGGUAGGAGCAAGGUCUGUGUACACUUUACCCUCCCAGACCCCACGUUGUGGGAUUUCCCUGGGUUGUUGUUGUUGUAGUUUCUCUUGCACUAGUGUGUGUUGUAUCUGCUGCCAUUUUGAGUUAUUAGUUCAAAUGCUUGUGUUCUUCAAUGAUCCAGUUGAUGAGAUUCCUGGUGGUUGAUGGGUAUGUGGUCUUAUUGACACUUGAUAAGUAAUCAAACUCAAUCCUGAAUCUUUUGACAGCCGCAUCAAGUGGGUGCGUCUCCUAUGGUAUUCUCGCUGCUUAUCUUCUCUGAUUCCUGUUUGUUGAUGCCCAGUGUUCAUUCUUAUGCAACCUGUUCCUUUGCCAGUUCUGUGCUUGCACUGCAAUCUGAAUAAAAAUAUUAGGCUUCGAUAGAGGGGUUUUUCAAUCUUGUUUCUUUGGCAUUUUUGUGCUUGCACUGCAAUCUGAAUAUUAUCAGGCUUUGAGAGAAGGGUUUUUCAAUCUUGUCUGGCAUUUUCUAGCGGGUUUCGUCAGCCUUUGCAUGUAACUCUUUCCUUCAUUCCUUUGCUUGCAGCCAUUGGGUCUUACAAAGCAGUGGAUUCUUCUGUUCAUGGAGUGAACUUAUUUGUCCAUAUGUGUUGAGGUUUUUUUGUUCAGUCUUUUAUGAGUAUCGAUAAUUUUCAAUUCAGUUUUCUUCCCUAGUGACUCCUCUGUCUCUGUCAAAACUACUGUUGUAUGGAAGUUUCUUAAUUAGGACAUUUUCUUAUCAGUGUGUUGUACUCUGCUGCCGUGAGGUUCUUAGUCCAGAUGCAUAUGUUCUUCGAUGAUCCAAUUGAUGAGGUCUCCUAUGGUGAUGAGGUCUCUUAUGGCUAUGGACACCUGAUACGUACUCGUCCAAUUCUAGAUUUAUUGAUAGUGGCGUAAAUUACUUCUUUAUUUUUGUUCUUCUGGCUUCUUAUCCUCUGCUUUCAUUUUUUUGGUUAUCACGCUAGUUUGUUUUGUUUGGAUGGAUGUGUAGCCAUAUGGUGAUACUGUUAUGUACAUUCAGAGUUGGAAAUUUCAAAGCAUGGUUAACCAACAUGUGAUCCUCUGCCACCUUUUGGUCUUUUUGGUGCUUGCAGCAAACUGGAUAUUGUCUGGGCUUUGACAAAAGGUUUUUUUCAGUCUCGUCUAUGGCAUAUCUGGUGAUUACUUAGGUGGGUUUGGGGUUCGUCAGAGUUGCACUCGACUUUCUGUUCUUGCAGCGAUUGGUUACGGGGCAGUGAAUUAUUCUUUUCAUGAAGCGGCCGUGUUUAUCUGUUUGUCUUGAGGUUUCUUAAGUCUUUUAUGAGUAUUGAGAAUUUCGAUUCAGUUUUCUUUUCUUAUGGCUCCCUUUUCUCUGUCAAAACUAUUGUUGUAUGGAGGUUUUUCGACUAAGAAUAUUUUUCACCGGUGUGUGUUGUCUUCUGCUGCCAUGAAGUUUUUAAUCCAGAGACUUCGUUCUUCAACGAACCAACUGAUGAGGUCUUUUAUGGUUAUAGACAUGGAUCUUAUCUUUUGAUUGCGCCAUAAAGUGCCCCUCUACUUCUGGUCUUUGCUUCUCGCAGCUGCUCUUCCCACACCUCAGGAUAUCUGGUGCCAAAUUGUCGCCCCUUUCCUUCGUUGCUUCCAUCUUCUUUUGGUUAUCGCAACUUAAUUUUUUUUGUUGGAUGGAUGUGUAGACUAUAUGGGGACAGUAUUAGAGGUUCAGAUUUCAAAGGUUGAUAUUCAGUAUGGUAUCUCUGUACCCUCUUGGUCUUUUUUGGUUCUUGCACUGCAAUCUGGAUAUAUUGGUCGGGGCUUCAACAAAGAAGGAUUUUUUAAAUCAUAUCUAUAUGGCAUCUCUUGUGAUUUCUUAGGUGUUGUGGGUUUUGUCCACUUUGGACUUGAUUGUACCCUUCUUUUUGUGCUUGCAGCCAUUGGGUCUUACAGAGAAGUGAAUUAUUCUUUUCAUGGAAUGACUUUGUUCGUCCAUUUAUGUCGAGGCUGCCUUAGUUCAGGCUUUUAUGAGUACUGGGCUUUUCAACUAAAAUAGUUUUUGUUUUCACCAGUGUGUGUCACAUUCUGUCAUUUUUGUAUUUUAGUCCAGAUGCUUAUUUUCUUCAAUUAUCCAACUGAUGAGAUUCCUGAUGGUUGAUGGUUAUGGUCUUAUGGACACUUGACAAGUACUAAAUUUUGGAUCUUUUGAAAGCCUCGUAAAGUGGUCCUCUCUUUUGGUGUUCUCUCUGCUCAUUUUCUCUGCUUCCUUUUUGUUGUAUUACGCCAGCUUGAUUUUGUUUGUUGGAUGGAUGUAUAGUGCAAGUUGAGGGGAUUGGACUUGGAGGAUUGUGAAGGUUGGUGUACAACUGUGCACCCUGUUUCUUGGCCAUGUUAGUGUUUGUACUACAAUCUGGAUAUUAUUAGAUGCUUCGAAAGAAGGCGGUUCUCAGUCUUGUCUGACAUUUCUAGUGAAUUCUAGGUGGUACGAGCUUCACCAUCUUUGCACUUAACUGUUCCAUUCUUUCUGUGCUUGCAGCCGCUGGGUCUUACAGAGCCGUAGAUUCUUCUUUUCAUGGAGCGGCCUUGUCUGACAAUUUGUGUUUAGAUUUUUUGGUUGAUGCUUUAGUGAUUAUUGAGAUCUUCAAUGCAGUUUUCUUCCAUAAUUGCCCUUCUCUCUUUGUCAACACUGCUUCACUAGUGUAUAUUUUGGUGCCAUUUUUUAAAAUAAUCUAGAUGCUUAUGUUCUUUGAUGAUCCAACUCAUGAGAUCUCCAUGGUUAUGGACACUUGACAAGUGUAUCAAACUCAGUCUUGGAUCUUUUGAUAGCCCUGUAAUGCACUCCUCUACUUUUCAUGUCCUCGCUGCUUACCUUCUCUGCUGUUGUUUAGCUUACUAGUUGAUUUAGUUUGGUUGGAUGAAUUUUUGUAGGUCACAUGAUGAUAUGAUAGUAAGAGUAUAAGAUUUGGAAAUUUUGUAGUUUGGUUUGAUGUGCAUCCCUGUGGACCCUGUUUCUUGCCAUUCUGAUGCUUGCACUGCAAUAUGGAUGAUUAGAUAAUCACUAGGCUUCAAGAGAAGGGCGCUUUGCAAUGUUAUAUUGUUUGGCAUCUCUAGUAAUCUCCCCUGCGUGGUAUAAGUGUCGCAUGUUUGCUCGUACCUGUUCGUUCUUUUUGUGCAUGUAACCGUUGUGUCUUCCAGAGAAUGAAUUUCAAUUCAGUUUUCUUCUUAGUCAGCGGUUCCCUUUUCUCUUUGUCAAAACUACUGUUUUGUGGAAGUUCUCAACAAUGGUAGUGUUUUCCACUAGUGUGUGUUGUACUCUGCUUCCUAUUUGUUGUAUCAUCCCAGCUUGGUUUUGUUUGUUGGAUGGAUGGCAGUAAUAAGAGGAUUAGAUUUAGAAAAUUUUGUUCUGCUGCCAUGAAGUUCUUAUUCCAGACGUGUAUGUCUUAGAUGAUCCAAUUGAUGAGGUCUCUUAUGGUGAUGAUGAAGUCUCAUGUGGCUAUGGACACCUGAUAAGUAGUCGGCCAAUUCUAGAUCUUUUGAUAGUGGCGUGAAAUACUUCUUUUCUUUUGUUCUUAUCUUGUCUGCUUCCAUUUUUUUCUUUAUCACACUAGUUUUUUUGGUUGGAUAGAUGUGUAGACCAUAUGGUGACACUGGUAUGGACGUUCCGAUUUGAAAAUUCCAGAGAUUGGUUAACCAACAUGUGAUCCUCUGCCACUUUCUGGUCUUUUUGGUGCUUGCACUGCAAUCUGGAUAUAUUGUCUGGGCUUUGACAAAAGGGGGUUAUCAGUCUCAUCUAUGGCAUAUCUAGUGAUUACUUGGGGGUUUUGGGGUUUUUCGGAUUUGCACUUGACUGCUCCCUUCUAUCUGUUCUUGCAGCCAUUGGUUACAGGGCAGUGUAUUAUUCUUUUCAUGAAGCGGUUGUGUUUGUUCGUUUGUGUUGAGGUUUCUUUAGUGGAGUCUUUUGUGAGUAUUGAGAUUUUUGAUUCAGUUUUCUUCCCUUAUGGCUCCCUUUUCUCUGUCCAAACUCUUGUUGUUUGGAAGUUUCUCGACUAAGAUAAUAUUUUUCACCAGUGUAUGUUGUGUUCUGCUGCCAUGAAGUCCACACACUUACAUUCUUCAAUGAUCCAACUGUUGAGGUCUCUUAUGGUUAUAGACGCCUGAUAAGUACUCUGUCAAUUUUGGAUCUUAUAUUUUGAUAGCGCCAUGUAGUGCUCCUCCACUUCUGCUGUUCUAGCAACAUUUACUCUUUCCUGCCAUUUUCUUUUGGUUGUCGCAACUUUUUUUUUUUGUUGGAUAGAUGUGUAGACUAUAUGGUGAUGACAGUAUCAGAGGUUAAAGAUUUGGAGAUUUCAAAGGUUGAUGUCCAGUAUGGUAUCUCUAUACCCUCUUGUUCUUUUUGGUUCUUGUACUGCAAUCUGGAUAUAUUGGUCAGGGGUUUUACAAAGAAGGGAGUUUUGAAUGUUGUCUAUAUUGCGUCUUUAGUGAUUUCUUAGGUGGUAUGGGUUUUUUCAGCUUUGGACUUGAUUGUACCCUUCUUUUUGUGCUUGCAGCCAUUGGCUUUUACAGAGCAGUAAAAUAUUCUUUUGAUGGAGCGGCUCUGUUUGUCCAAUUUAUGUCGAGGUUUUCAUGGUUCAGGCUUUUAUGAGUACUGAGAUUUUCAACUAAAAUAUUUUUUUUUCACUUGUGUGUGAUAUUCUAUCGUCAUUUUUUCGUUUUUAGUCCAGAUGCUUAUUUUCUCCAAUUAUCCAACUGAUGAGAUUCCUGAUGGUUGAUGGUUAUGGUCUUAUGGAUACCUGACAAGUACUCAAUAUUGGAUCUUCUGAAAGCCUCGUAAAAUGGUCCUCUCUUUUGGUGUUCUCGCUGCUCAUAUUCUCUACUUCCUCCUCCUUGUAUUAUGGUAACUUGAUUUUGUUUGUUGGAUGUAUGUAUGGUGACAGUUAAGGGGAUAAGACUUGGGAGAUUUUGAAGGUUGGUGUGUGUGCAUUCCUGUGCACCCUGUUUCUUGGCCAUGUUGGUGCUUGCACUACAAUCUGGAUAUUAUUAGAGGGUUCGAAAGAAGGCAGUUCUCAAACUGACCCCAGGGCCUAGCUCAAGUGGCAAAGGGUGGAGGUUUUGUGGUGUAGGUCACAGGUUCAAGCCCCACACCAUACAAAGCGAAGCUUGGUAUUUAAGUGGAGAAGGGUAGAGGAGCGGGCCCAUUAUCCACCGAGUUUAGAAGUCUAUGGUUUAUCCAAAGGGCGGGCCACAGACAGAUUUCUCGGUUAUCAAAAAAAGGAAGGCGGUUCUCAAUCUUGUCUGGUAUUUCUAGUUAAUUCUAGGUGGUACGGGCUUCGCCAGCUUUGCACUUAACUGUUCCAUUCUUUCAGUGCUUGCAGUCGCUGGGUCUUACAGCGCCGUAGAUUCUUCUUUUCAUGGAGCGGCCUUGUCUGUCAACUGAUGAGAUCCAACUGAUGCUUAUGUUCUUUGGUGAUCCAACUGAUGAGAUCUCCAUGGUUAUGGACACUUGAUUAGUGUAUUCAAACUGAGUCUUGGAUCUUUUGGUGGCCCUGUAAAGCACUCCUCUACUUUUCGUGUUCUUGCUACUUACCUUCUUUGCUUUGGUAUACCAGUUGAUUUAGUUUGGUUGGCUGAAUAAUAGUAAGAGGAUAUUAUUUGGAAAUUUUGUCUUUUGGUUUCAGUGUGCAUCCCUGUGGACCCUGUUUCUUGCCAUUUGGUGCUUGCAGUGUGACCUGGAUAAUUGGAUAGCACCAGGCUCCAAGAAGAGUAGGGUGCUUUUCAAUGUUAUAUUGUUUGGCAUCUUUAGUGAUCUCUCCUGCGUGGUAUGGGCCUCCCAUGUUUUGCACUUACCUGUUUCGUUCUUUUUGUGCUUGUAACCGUUUGGUCUUCCAGUGAAUGAAAUUCAAUUCAGUUUUCUUCUUAAUCAGGGGGUCCCUUUUCUCUUUGUCAAAACUACUGUUGUGUGGAAGUUCUCAACAAUGAUAAUAUUUUCCACUAGUGGUGUGUUCUAGCUACUUUUCUACUCUGCUCCUGUUCUCUUAUGUUUAUCGUGUCACUUGGUUUUGUUUUUUUGGAUGCAUGUGUAGACCACAUGGUGACAGUGAGGUGGAUCAUAUUUGGUAAUUUCGAAGUUUGGUUUCAGUGUUUAUCCUUGUGCACUCUGUUUCUUUUGCCAUUUUGCUUGCACUGCAAUUGGAUAUCAUCAGGCACCAAGGAAAGGAGUUUUGCAUUCUUUCCUGGCAUCUCUAGUGAUCUCUCCUAUUUGGUAUUGGUUUCACGGCUUUGCACUCUUGACUGUUCCCUUCUUUUGUGCUUGUUGUCAUUGGGCCUUUCAAGAUCAGUGAAGUUUAACUUUCAUGGAGCAACCUUGUUUGCCAAUUAGUGGAGGUUUCCUUAGUUCAGACUUUAUUAGUAUCUAUCUAUUCUUCCUUGAUCAUUGAGAUUCCCUUAUUUAUAUGGAAUUUUUCAACUACGACAAUUCUUUCCGCAAGUGCAUUUUCAGCUUGUAGUCCAGAUGCUUAUGUUUUCUAUGAUCCAACUGAUGAGGUCUGUUAAGGGUGUGGACAUCUGGUAAGUACUUGCUCAAUUCUGGAUCUUUUCAUAGACCGGUAAAGCGCUCAUCUGCCUUUCAUGUUCUUGCUUCUUAUCUUCUUUGUUUUCAUUUUCUUUUUGCUAAUCACACCUGUUGGAGUUUUGUCUGUUGGAAGGGGAUGUAUGUACCACAUAAACAGUAUUGGAGGAUAGGAUGUAUAUACUACAUAGUGAACAUUAUUGGGGGAUUUGAUUUGGAAUUUGUGAAGGUUAGUGUUCAGUAACAUGAUCGUUUAGGUGCUUGCACGUCAAUCUGGAUAUUGUAAGUGCUUUGAGAGAAAGGUUUUUUUUUUGAAUAUUGUCUACAUCAUUUCUAGUGAUUUGCCAAUUGUUUUGGGUUUUGCCAGCUUUGCACACUAUUCCUUCUUUCUGUGCUUGCAGUUGUCUUAAACAAGUAAAAUUCUUCUUUCUGUGGGGCAGCCUUUGUUUUUUGAUUUAUGUUGAGAUUUCAUUUGGUUCAACCUCCUCUGAGUGACCGAUUUUCAGUCGGUGCUCUUCUAUAAUCAGUAUGAUCUUUUCUCACCAUACUCUAUUCGGUGUGGUGCUCUUCUUGUAGCAAGUUUAACUGAGAACUUUGCAUCAGUGGUGAUUUUCAUUCAAUUUCUGAUUCUUCUAUUGGGUGCACUAUCUGCAAGUCGUAAUCACUAUUUUUGGACUAACUUUUGUUAGGUAAAUGAAACCUCUUUUUCAAAGUUACGUAUUUCAAAAAAUAAAAUAAAAUGAAUGCCUUUUUAUUUUUGGACCUCGCCCCCCCCCCCCCCCCCCCUUUUUUUUUUUUUUUUUAACAUGCAUAUUAUGUUUCAGAUAUUCAGUCAUUUGAGGAGUUGCUUCAGACUGUUAGCUAUUAUGUAAAACUUCAAUGUAAAAAGAGACUUCACACUUUUUUUCUCCAUAAGACAUUGCCAUUUGAACGGUCUUUGCACCAAAGAGCUGGCAGCAAUUCAUUGAAUCUAAGAGCAGAUCAAGUAAAAAACUUGGUUCAUCUUUUGUGUGACAGGUCAUGUGUUAACACAAAGGUAACCUUUUUUUCUGUGUAAAAGAUCUUCUGAUGAAAUAUCCUUGUAAAUCCAUCACAUAUCAGAUCAUCGUGCAUGUUGGGAAGUUUUUCAAUGAAUCUUGUUCUAAUAAAAUACUCUUCCGACUAAGCUUUGCACUAAUUUUCUUAACAUGGUUGAAAUCACCAUUGAUUAUAGGUAACUUUUAUUCUGGCAUUCUCUGUGUUCUUGCUAUAUCAUUGAUGUAUGUUAAGUCACAUAUCACUUCACAGAUAGUAUGUUUUGUAAAAUGUCACUAAACAAAUAGUCUGUUCAGCCAAAUGUCACUUCACAGAUCUGUCACUGAUGGUUCCGUUGCUUUGAUCUCGCAUGUUCUACUUCCAGCUAUAGUUCAUUUCUUAUUUUAGAAAUUGUUCCUUGCUCCUUGGUUUUCUUGUAGUGGUGAUUGAUUAGGAACCUUCCAUAAGUAAAUGGGGAUCUUCUAUGAAGCCCCGCCCCAGACUGAGUUUUGACAGUUUUGAAAAAUGCUGCUGUCUUUGCCUUCAUAGAGUUAAGCUCUUCGUUCAUAUGUUGCACUUCACAUAUGGUAUACUUUAGAUAUCGUAUGAUUAUAGAGGAGUUUUCCGCUUUUAUCAUUUUCCCUUGUAUAUAUUUAUGAGUAUGUUCCAAUGUGCUUUGAUUUUCUCUGUUGCAUCAUUAGUAAACGACAUUUUGGUGAAGAGGGAUCCGACUAUGAUUUCAGGCGCAGGUUCUUGGGAGUUCUCUUGGGAUUCUUUUGUGUAAUCAGGCUUUGGUUAAGACCUAUCUUCUCUCCCCCCCUUCCCCUAAUGGGGGUAGAGCUGGUGGUUGGCUGCCUCUUUCUGAUGGUUAGAGAUGUUGAUGGUGGCUCAACGUGUGCAAGAUUUUAUUCAGGUUUCUGAUCUGGUGGGUUUCAAUUUUCUCCCGGAUCCUUGGUUGUAGCUGUUGGAUGUUCGGUCGGGAGGGGUCAAGGAUGAUUUUUUUGAGGUUUGCCAUUAUUAUCUGUUCAUUUUCCUGAUGAGCACAGACGGUUGAUGAUUUUCUGGGUAUUUACAGAUUUGAAUAGGUCUGCAUUUGUUGGUGCGGUUAUAUCCUUAAGUUUUCUGAUUUUGCUCUAUAAUAGUAUGGAAUAUGAGCAGAUUUGUCUGUUGCAGAAAAGAACGUCUAGUAGAAUUCUUGGCCCUCCUAUGUUGAAGUUUGAAAUUGCUAUAAAUUCUCACUUUUGUUUGUUCCUUGAGGCAUCCAAGGGCUUCCUGUUUAGGUUAUGCAAAAUUCUUUCUGGUUCUACCCGAGGUGAUGAUGGUAAGGGUAUUGGCCAUGCAGUUUCUGUUGGAGGAUGUCGAUCUUUUGUAACAAAGUAAACCUCAUCUCUGGUACCAACAGCGGAUCAUCUUUUCUUGCAUCUUCUCCUCUGGAGCACCAUCAGUACAAGUUUCUGUGUCUUCCCUUGCAGAUGUUACUUUUUGUAUUCCAUGUUGGUAGGCGAUUGGUUCAUUCAAAAUCACGGAAAGGGUCUCCCUCCCAAGUUUUCUGGCUUUCUUUAACUGCCCAUGAGCUUUAAAUGGUGUACAGGUGUUAAGAGUAGUAGCAUUUUUAUGUGUUAAUCUUUUACCAUGAGCAAGUAUUAGUUGCACAGUGAUAUUGUGAUAUCCACCCAAUUAGUUAGGUGGGUUCAUGCACCAAACAUGAGAAGGGAUGAGAUCAAGGAGUUUCUAAGAAGCAGUCUGUUAUACAGUCAUUGCAGUGGUUUUGAUAAUGUAAACUCAUGUUUUUUAAGCAUUUGUCGUAUUUGUUGAUCUGGAUUUCUUACCUGUAAAACAGCACUACAGAUGUGAGUGUACUGUUUUUGAAGUUGAGAAGGUAUUAGCAUCUUGAAGUAGCUGGGAUGCUUUGGCUUCAGUUUGUCGUGGUAUUUCUUUUCUAAGUAUGGCCAUUGGAUGGGUUAUUUCUAUUUUCUCUAAGCUCCAGUUGUCCAAUUUUUCCAGAUAACUCCGAAUGGUGGGGGUUACUUCUCUUCCCUCUAAAUUUGCCAGUCAAGAAUUAUCAGCUCAGAGAAGUUGAUUUUGGGCAACUGUUGGUCUAGCUUUUGUUCCUCUUUCAAGUUCUUGUAGCUACUUUGAGACGUUAGGAUUGAAGAACAUUUUUUUUGGGCGAAAACACACAUUCAGUUCCAUAUAAGCGGUUUUGCUCACCCGAAGUGGUGAGAAGUUGGAAGAUGGUAAAAUCAGUGGUUGUGGAGCAUGUUAAACCGAAGAAAGUCCUGGUAUGGACACUUGGAUUCCUGUUUCGACAUUGUUCUAGUAAUUUUUGCAUCUUCCAAAGUAUUUAAAUCUCUAUUUUGGAUUUAACAUUACAAGGGCUUUUGGUUAUUUUGUGUGUGUUCAACUACAUUGUGGAGCAUUCUAGUCGCUCGAGAAAUAUCUAACGUGCUUUCUCCUACAAUGUGUAGUAAUUCGUUAAUCUAUGUGCACCUUGCAGUUUAUGGAUGAUGAGUGUUUUGUAGGGCAGCAGUGUUGGUGAUCGAGUUUUAACUAUUGAGCAAAACUAAUUGUUCUCAAAAUUAUUCUCUCCUCUCACGUGUAUGAAAUGCAGUUACUGAAUAUAGGAGGUCUAUAGGUAAUAUUCUAAGUAGUAUAGGUGUGAAGUGGCUUUCUAUUUUGGGUUGUUAUGAUGAGUUGGGCAUCUCUUUCUUUGGCUUAUUCCACAUGCUUAUUUGGUGUGUUUUGAUUUGCGACUUUGGUAUCUGUGGAUUAGUAUCUUGGAUGUGAUAGCUUGAGUUCAGGGAAAACAGGAGAUACUCUCUCAAAAUCUAGACAAGUGGAAGUUUUAACUCCGGAAGAAACACUUGAGGAAGCAUACCGAAAAUUAUUGUUGUGUUUUGUCUUUCUGGUAGAUGUGAGCAGGGAAGGACGAAGGUUCCACAUUUGUAGUGAUGGAGCUGGUGCAAAAAUUUGAUUCAGGGUACAGAUUGUUCUUUGUGCAGAUACUUAGCUCCUGAACUGGAGAAAUCUGCUUUCUGGAUAUUAUAUAUAUAUUUUAGUUGUUUUAAGGUGCUGUGAAAUACAUAUAUUUUUUAGUUGUUGAAGGUGAUUCGAAAUUGUGGAUUUUUACGAGUGCAAUUUCUUCAUGGUAGAUGUAAAGAUAGAAUUGAUUUUCACGUACUACUCAAACGCUCCUUCCAUUGCACAAUUAUAUCUUAGGCCAACCGCUUAAGCACUGGAACUCUUCGUGGGUUUGAUCAGGUAAUGAAUCUGGUCAUUGACAACACUGUGGAAGUUAAUGGCAAUGAGGAAUGAAAUUGGCAUGGUGGUGAUUCGCGGUAAUAACGUGGUGACAAGUGAAGCGUUGGAGCCAGUCGCUAGACCACAGUAGCUCUAACGGAUCUUUGUUUAUGCUCCAGAUGCUGCUGCCGUUCGUUUAAAGGAAACCUUAGGUAACAUAAGUUUGUACUACUAGGAUUCAGUAUUUGACUAGAUAACAGUUAACAUGACAAUGGAUUUCUGUAAGUUUGAUCAUCAAUUCUCUAUUCAAUUAGUGCACCAUGUGCUGAACGCAGUAAAGGGAAGACAAAUGACAAUUAAAAAUAAAUAAAUUAUCCCUUAGGCAAUCUCACAGAAAGGCUAGAGGACCAGUUGGAGCCAUGCAUCUCUGAAGUAAAACCUUGUCAUUUGAAGUCAUGUUUUGCACUAGCAGGGCCCAGAAUUUGUCUGUUGACAUUUUCUUUUUAGCGCUAUGCAUCUCUGAAGUAGUAUCUUGUCAUUAGAAUCAUGUUUAUCAUUAGACGGACCUAAGGUUGUCUAUCAUGUGACAUCAUAUAUGGAAGAAUUUCAUUAUUUGUCCUA